rnacentral:rRNA from 1 species
AGAAUCAACGCUGGCGGCGUGCCUAACACAUGCAAGUCGAACGAGAAAGUGGAGCAAUCCACGAGUAAAGUGGCGCACGGGUGAGUAACACGUGACUAACCUACCCUUGAGUGGGGGAUAACCUAGAGAAAUCUGGGCUAAUACCGCAUAAUACCUUCGGGUCAAAGGAGCAAUUCGCUUAAGGAGGGGGUCGCGGCCGAUUAGUUAGUUGGCGGGGUAAUGGCCCACCAAGACUAUGAUCGGUA